CAGCCGCCGCGGUAAUACAGAGGGUGCGAGCGUUAAUCGGAUUUACUGGGCGUAAAGCGUGCGUAGGCGGCUAAUUGAGUCGGAUGUGAAAUCCCCGAGCUUAACUUGGGAAUUGCAUUCGAUACUGGUUAGCUAGAGUGUGGGAGAGGAUGGUAGAAUUCCAGGUGUAGCGGUAAAAUGCGUAGAGAUCUGGAGGAAUACCGAUGGCGAAGGCAGCCAUCUGGCCUAACACUGACGCUGAGGUACGAAAGCAUGGGGAGCAAACAGGAUUAGAUACCCCAGUAGUCCCUGUCUCUUAUAA
rnacentral:rRNA from 1 species